GACGAACGCUGGCGGCGUGCUUAACACAUGCAAGUCGAGCGGUAAGGCCCUUUCGGGGGUACACGAGCGGCGAACGGGUGAGUAACACGUGGGUGACCUGCCCUCAGCUCUGGGAUAAGCCUGGGAAACCGGGUCUAAUACCGGAUAUGACUCCAUGACGCAUGUUGUGGGGUGGAAAGCCUUGUGCGGCUGAGGAUGGCCCGCGGCCUAUCAGCUUGUUGGUGGGGUGAUGGCCUACCAAGGCGACGACGGGUAGCGGCCUGAGAGGGCGACCGGCCACACUGGGACUGAGACACGGCCCAGACUCCUACGGGAGGGCAGCAGUGGGGAAUCUUGCGCAAUGGGCGAAAGCCUGACGCAGCGACGCCGCGUGAGGGAUGACGGCCUGGUGUAACU
rnacentral:rRNA from 1 species